rnacentral:tRNA from 1 species
GCCCUGGUGCAAAACGGCAGAUCUUGACCGGCAGAAGCCUCACAGUCAUCCAAGAUUUUGGAUUUAGGACUUCCAGACGGACUUUUAAUCCGUUGGUCGCAGGUUCGACUCCUGCCGGGCU